GCCGGGGUGGCGGAACUGGUAGACGCCGCGGACUUAAAAUCCGCAGGGGCGCAAGCCCCGUAUGGGUUCGAAUCCCGUCCCCGGCA
rnacentral:tRNA from 1 species